rnacentral:lncRNA from 1 species
GGAUUUGAUUUAGGGUUUAGAGUUUGGUUAGGAUUUGAUUGAGGAUUAGGAUUUGGUUAAGAUUUGACUUAGGAUUUAGGAUUUAGGAUUUGGUUUAGGAUUUAGAGUUUGGUUAGGAUUUGAUUUAGAGUUAGGAUUUGGUUAGGGUUUGAUUUAGGAUUUAGAGUUUGGUAUAGGAUUUGGUUGGGAUUUAGUUUAGGAUUUUUUUAGGGUUUAAUUUAGGAUUUAUGAUUUUAUUAGGAUUUGCUUAAGAUUUAAGAUUUAGUUAGUUUUGGCCUAAAGUUUGAAUGAAGUCUAAUAGAAUUUUAACUAGGAUUAAAUUAAGAUUUAAUUGAGAUGCAUUUGAGAUAUAUUUGUGAUCAUUCUUAUAUUUCUUUAAGAUUUUUUAUUUUUUCUUUGAAAUUUCUUUGAGGUUUCUUUGAAUUUGAUUAAAUCUUACUUAGAAUUAUUAUGGUCUAAUUAAAAUUUAGUUAGUAUUCUAUUAGAGUUAGGAUUUUGUUGUUGCAAUUUCCAUUCUACCUUCCAUAAUCAAGUACUCG